UAAAAAACGUGGAAAACUACAAGAUCCAUAAACCCUAAUCAAGAAUAAAAAAUAAAAUAGAGCCGCACCUCUUUUUCCUCUUUCUUCCUUCUUAGCCUCAGCGGCUUGACAUCAACAUCACCUCCUCCUAAAGCAACCACAACUGCAGUACCACCAGAAAAUUGUACCGCACCAUCAGAUCUAUCGUCUCUUGUCGAUCUUUGCACCGCACCAACAGAUCGAAGAUCUUCUCGAGACCAUUCGCCUCUCAGAUCUCUUUUCUUCACUUCCACUGUUGGUUUUGCUCUACACCAUGUCGGAGCCGUUGCCUGCUCUUCUUCCGUCAAGGUUCAGACCUUGCCGACGAAGACCCUUUGGUUUUGGAUCUUGCCGGAAACUUUCUCGUGCUUACCUCCCGAAGAUCUUUGCAACCAUCUACUCCGCCUCUUGCCGGCAACUGCGAUUAGGGUUUUCGUGAAAGAAGUAAAUCGCCGCUAUAAUCAGAAAUGUUUCCCCUCCAUCGAUCCUCUUCGGUAAAACUUGUUUCCCUCAAAUUGUCAAAUCUCAAUCCGACCAUCAAUUGAGGAAAGAUCUCGUUGAGAAACGCCGGUUGAUGUUGAGCGGCAUGCUAGAGAUGUUAUGGAAGCUGCGAAAAAGCUUCAGCUUUAUUUCAUGGGGUUGAAGAGAGAAGAUUGUGCACCCACUAGAGCAGAAAGCCUUAAGAAGGAGAUUGCAGUAAUGGAAGAAGAGCUCAAGAUAAAAGAACAGCUGAUAAAGAAGUACACAAGGUUUAUCCGAGAAUCGCAGAGGCUAAUGAAAGAACAGAUAGAGAAACAGAGUUUAUUGCUUUGUCUAUUUUUUUUUUUUGGGAUCAAGUAUGUUUUCAAUAUUGUAAUAUGAUUAUUGUUGUAUGCUUCAUUAAAUACAAAUUAUUAUUAUUGAUUA